UAUGGUGACUAAAGGUAUUUUAGAAUCAAGUGGCAGUAUUAAAAUAGUUGAAAUGCUGUACAUAGAAGGAAGAAAAAAAAAGUGCAUUUAAAAGGGUGCCUUCUCUUAAAACAACUUUUUCCAUGGAUUGCACACAGUCUUAUUACAGAGUAAAUGUUGUAACCAUUGGUAAGCCAAUAGCAAUGUUGGUAGGCCAAUAUUAAUGGCUUACUAUUUACAGGUGUAUAAAUGUACCUAUCACAGAAUCACAGAAUUGCAGGGGUUAGAAGGGACCUCAAGAGAUGUCAAGUCCAACCCCCCCCAUAUAUACAUAUAUAUUUACAUAUAUAUACAUAUACAUAUGUGUGCAUAUGCAGAAAUCACACACAGGAAAAUCAGUAACAGUGGUAGGAAAAGGCUUUGGCAGAACAACUGAUGUAAGGGUCAUUUUUUUGCACACCCAUCACUUUACAUCCAUGUGUUUUAUCAUCUCCUACACAACAUUCACAAAGUGGUGCUACAAUAACCAUAACCAUACUUCGGUCUCCUGAAAAAUGAGGUAACUGGAACACACUGUGACUGACAACAGCAUGGGUCUUUCACCCUUCAUCACUUUUCACAGAGUGACCAAAUGUACGUUCUUAUUCAGUAUUUUGUGUUUUAGAGUUUAAAGGAACAGCUCCAUUGCCAGCCAAUCCUGACCUCACCUCUGUAGGUGGACUGAACACUCUUGUGCCACUAUUUGCUGGGGAAUAUCCUUCAGCAUCACAUCCUUCCACCAGUUAUUGAUUAACAGACACUCCAGGACUACAAACCAGACUCGCUGAGUCCAGGGACACAGUCCUGCUAUAGGAGGAGGCAGCACAAAGCCAGGCAGGAAAGUUCUUCCAACCCAUGCUUUUGCUUUUGCAGCUCUUCUGAAAUCCAAAACCCCAGCUGCAUAAGGACACAGCAAGGUCCCUUGGAGCACGGUUACAAACCUUGCUUGCCAAAUGUUCACUGCAUUUCCACUGUGCUAAGGGUCAGAUAUGCCUGGGAAGCAUAGAAAACAGUUUUAUCUGGUCAGUGGGAAUUCUACCGGAGACAGCUAUGGUUUUGAUACAUGCUUAGAGUUGUUCUCCUCCUAUCAACCACACAGGCAUAAAAAUGAAUUAUUUAUUUUUUCCCAAGAAUAUAAAGACCUGCACUGUAUGCAAAUCUUUAAAGUGUUGGGGUUUUUUGUUUGUUUUUUUUUGUUUUGUUUUUAAAUAAGAAUUAGUAUGAGCUCCUUCUUUUCCCCUUACACCUUCCUUGGUGUACCUGUCUCAAGUUAUAGACAGUUGUCUUAGAAUCCCCUCUUAUCCCCCCAGAACUGUCUAGCCCACUCAGCACAGUGUUCAAUACACUGCCUGUUUGGAUUUGGCUUCCCAUGGUAUAGAGUGCAGAGGCACAGAAGUAUUUCACCACUGGGAAGUGCUUGUGAAUUUGAAAGAGCAAGAAGCCAGCAAUGUACUCGAUGUGAUCUCAUGGAAUCAUGGGAACCUGCAGUAACUGGGUAUGAAAUGUCAUUAUUAUGUUAAAUGAGUCUAUUAAUUCAGCUCAAGAUACUAUGUCCACUGCAUAAUAUUAAGCACUUAGUUCUGCUCACGCAGUCUUUCUUAAUGCUCUGGGAACACCAUGUGCCCUAUUGAGGAACGUGAAGGACUGCAAUAGAAAUUACUACUGAUCUUAACAUCAGACCCAUAUGUCUUAGGAGCCAGUUAGCCUAUACAAUUCAUUGAGGAUGUUUCCAUCUGUGAAUAGUUCCCAUUAUAGUUUAAUUGUGUCAAACUAAAUGUAUUUCUAAAAUAUUUUCGGAAGUUAAUAUUUAUAACAGACAUUAGGCCUAAUAUAGCCUAACUUCUGCUUUUCUCCUACCUGAAUGCGUUUCUCAAGCUGUUUUCUUUGUCACUGAGAGGCAGUCUGGUGAUUGUACCACGUGAGCAAUCAGUGAUUGACAACAACACUCUGAAUUUUGUCAGAGCAGGAUGCCUACGCAGACAGAAGUAGCCAAAGUGCUGCCACUGAAAACAAAUGCCAAGUCUCAGUGUCUGCAAAGAAAGAAAUCAAGUCUGGGUGGGAAAGGAUCUGAUGCGCAUCAGCCCUCCUUGCUUUAGGACAGACCAGAAGAAGAGUUGUUGAUGCUGAUGUAUAAUGCUUAUACCAAACCGAUGGGCCUCAUUAGCCAUGAGCACGCUCACACUGGAGAAGAACUGCAAUCACCUGAGCACAGAGGCUCUGAAAUGAAAACAGGUGACAAAAGCUUAGGUAAUUUGGAGAUAGCAUCCUACCAAUUAGGGAGCACAGUGAAGUUAAGUGGUUGGUGAGGACCCCAGGAAAGCCAAAAGGAAGCAAGCCUUUCCUUCACUGUUGGCUGUUGUUAUUGACUUAGCAUUAGUGAGCUGUUUGGUUAUUGUGCUAAUGGUAGAGAAAAAGAAUUGUGGAGACUAGCAAAAUAGGAGAGGAAGCCCUGCUUUCGUCGUGAGACCUCUUUUUUGGAUUGAUAGACUGGGUCUUCUUCAAGUGUUUCCCAAGGUCUUCAACAGGCAGGAGAGAUUGGAAGAAAAUGUACUGGAAACACAUGCUGAAUAGGACAGGAAUUUAAGACCAGCUAAUACAAAAAUCAGACAUCAGUUCAAGGAACAGAGGAGCAGAAUGGGACUAAUCCAGAUUCUGGCCUGACAUUUCCUCUGCCCCAUCAAAAGUUAAUGCACUGACCAACACAGGACCAAUGCCAAAAAAAUUCUGCCUACGAAGGAGAUCUCCAAAAACAUUCUUUAUCAGAUAAGAAAAUGCUUUGCAUUCUGCCCUUUUUUUUUUCUGUUUGUUUUUCUAAGGCUUCUUGGAGCCCUACACUCAGAAAAAUUUCCCCAAUGACAAUAUUUCAACAGGGGAAGAGUUUAGGAUUACAAAAUCUGGCCAAAGGUCAAUAGUAAAUACAACAGAAAAAAACACUGAGUAGGAAUUGCUUCCAUGGGAAGCACAAAAAACUACAAGAAAAGUGCCUAUAAAAGAUGCUAUGGUCACUUUGUCUGAAACUGAAUUCCAUUCCACGUUACCAGGAAACUACUGUCCGUUUGAGGAUCUGGCUGUAGUCUCCUGGAGGAGACUACUGCUCAAGAUACUAAGCAGAUGAAGAUGUCACAAUACAGGAACAAAACACUACCAAUUCUAGCAGAAGUUCCAGGAAAAGGAUUCCGUGUCAUGAAAAGGCAUCCAUGCCCUGCCAAAUUCCUGUGACAAUCUAUCAACUAUACCUCCUGUAUAUUGGACAGUGUGGGCAAAGAUGCUUCAGGACAAGCUAAGUGUACCUCGGAUAAGACUGAAUUCUGGAAUGAUCACGAGGGCCUUUCUUGACCAUGGUCAUCUUACACAAAGGGGCUUUUGGUCAGCAUACUCUGUGGCUGUUUUUUCACGGGUACAUGGGAGCUAGAUUGUUACCACCACAUUAUUUCACAUGACUGCUGGUCACAGCUAAUGGUAUCUGGUAGCAAAUUCAAAUCACUGAGCAAGACGUGAACAACAUAGAUCCUCUGCCUCAGAGCUUUCCUGUUUUUCUUCCUUCCUUCCUUCCAUGCCUUUGUUUGGAUUUUCUUUUAAAUGAGGCAAAAAGAAGGAAAAAAAGAAUCACUUAGAAAUGAUCUGCCUUUACAUUUCCUACUAACUCCAA